rnacentral:lncRNA from 1 species
UUCAUGAGGAAGCCUCGAAGGGGUUAAAGUGGAAGGCUUGCACAAACUUUGCCUCUCCGCUUCUCCCUUAUCUCCUCCCUCUCGGGCUCUGCUCUCCGCACGGCUAAGGCAGAGCAGAGCUGAAUCACACUACCUUUCCCCGCAUCCUCUAAACUGUUGCCUGCGAAAGAGGGACCGGGGACUGAACUGUUCAGACUGCUUCCAUCCAAGGGUUCCGGACGGUAUACACGCAUCCAAGCAGACACUUCUCUUGGCUCUUUUGGAGUUUAAAAGGCGCAGGCAUCCGGCACUGCGGCUAUUUGCCAGAGAUGUUCCUGAACAAGUUGCCUGGCGGUGCAAGCUUCAAAAGGGAUACUUAAAUGGCCAGCCCCAUUUCGUCCCGUAAGCCAGGAAAGGAAUAUAAAUCUGUUGAAGAAUCUUAAGAGUCAAAUCUUCUGAGCCUAGACAUACUGCUGUCAGCAUCUCUUGAGACCUCCUCCUUCUGAGAAUUCCCAGGUCUGACCACACUUUCCCUCCAGCCUACAGUGAGGGACGUCAACACACAUCCUCUAGACUUCCAGCCCCCGAGCUGUGGCAGCUGGGGCAGGAAUCUUACAAGCUCCAUCCUUAGGGGAGAUUCAGAAAGACAAGAAGGGUGAAAAGUCAGAUAUGCUGAGUCUGAAACAUACAAAAGCCUUUAGAACGGCUCCUCACAGAAGAACCCAAAUAAAUCCACAUAAUUAGUGCGCA